GAUGAACGCUAGCGGCAGGCUUAACACAUGCAAGUCGAGGGGUAUAGUUCUUCGGAAUUAGAGACCGGCGCACGGGUGCGUAACGCGUAUGCAAUCUACCUUUCACAGAGGGAUAGCCCCAGAGAAAUUUGGAUUAAUACCUCAUAGUAUAGCAGUUUCGCAUGAAACCACUAUUAAAGUCACAACGGUGAAAGAUGAGCAUGCGUCCCAUUAGCUAGUUGGUAAGUAACGGCUUACCAAGGCAACGAUGGGUAGGGGUCCUGAGAGGGAGAUCCCCCCACACUGGUACUGAGACACGGACCAGACUCCUACGGGNGGCAGCAGUGAGGAAUAUUGGGACAAUGGGCGC
rnacentral:rRNA from 1 species